GGCAUGUUGCCAGAGUGGUUAAUGGGUGAGACUUGAAUUCGAGUACGGAUUAAGCCAUCUCAUGACUUCGGUCGCGUAGGUUCAAAUCCUGCACAUGUCG
rnacentral:tRNA from 1 species